CUCACCAGGUGUCUUACCUCUGUCCAGAGACAACUAUUGGCAGAACCUAUGUAAAAUCCAACUGCAAAAGAGGCUUAAAAUGUAAUUUUCAGGUUUCCAAUUCUUUGCAAUAGUUAACACAAAAGCAUGGGAACAGGGUAAAAGAAAUGAGCAGUUAUGAAAAAGGACAAGAAUUACUCAAGCAGCAACACAAAAAAGAUCAAACAGAUUCACAGUUCAGGAAAAAAAAAAUCCAGACUGAAGUUCCAAGAUUCACAGUACUGGCAUCCCAGAAUGAGAAAAAAAGACAGAACGAGGCAAUGGAAUAUUUAAAGAGACGAGAGCAGAGAAUUUUCCAAAACUGAGGAAAGAAAUCAAGCCACAGAUCUAAGAAAUUCCAGGUGACUGUACCUCCCUAGCAAGAUGACAUAAUGGCAUCAUCCCAUGCAACAAGAAGGGGAAACUACAGCACUUCCAAGAAGUUUAUUAGCCAUGUUUCUAGCAAGUGCCAGAAUCAGUACCAGAACCUACAUAUUCUAAGUCCUCAUGGAUCUGAGGAGGAAGCAACCUUAGCCCAUUAUGCCGCAGAGAUUUCAUGUAUUAAAAAGACUGGGGUCAGAGUUGACCAAGGUUCCUUAGGACUUUACUAAUGCAUACCCCUUCUGAAGUAAU